GGAUGGACCCGCGUCUGAUUAGCUAGUUGGUAAGGUAACGGCUUACCAAGGCGACGAUCAGUAGCCGACCUGAGAGGGUGAUCGGCCACAUUGGAACUGAGACACGGUCCAAACUCCUACGGGAGGCAGCAGUGGGGAAUAUUGCACAAUGGGCGAAAGCCUGAUGCAGCAACGCCGCGUGAGCGAUGAAGGCCUUCGGGUCGUAAAGCUCUGUCCUCAAGGAAGAUAAUGACGGUACUUGAGGAGGAAGCCCCGGCUAACUACGUGCCAGCAGCCGCGGUAAUACGUAGGGGGCUAGCGUUAUCCGGAAUUACUGGGCGUAAAGGGUGCGUAGGUGGUUUCUUAAGUCAGAGGUGAAAGGCUACAGCUCAACCGUAGUAAGCCUUUGAAACUGUGAAACUUGAGUGCAGGAGAGGAGAGUGGAAUUCCUAGUGUAGCGGUGAAAUGCGUAGAUAUUAGGAGGAACACCAGUUGCGAAGGCGGCUCUCUGG
rnacentral:rRNA from 1 species